rnacentral:rRNA from 1 species
AGAGUUUGAUCAUGGCUCAGAACGAACGCUGGCGGCGUGGAUAAGACAUGCAAGUCGAACGCGAUUUUUCCGGUUAGCAAUAACUGGAAAAAUUGAGUGGCGAAUGGGUGCGUAACACGUGGGAAUUUAUCCGGAAGUGGGGGAUAGCUUGCCGAAAGGCAAAUUAAUACCGCAUAUGCCCGUAAGGGCAAAGUGGGGGACCGCAAGGCCUCACGCUAUCGGAGGAGCCCGCGCCCUAUCAGCUAGUUGGUGAGGUAAUGGCUCACCAAGGCUUAGACGGGUAGCUGGUCUGAGAGGACGACCAGCCACACUGGAACUGAGACACGGUCCAGACACCUACGGGUGGCAGCAGUCGAGGAUUUUUCUCAAUGGGGGCAACCCUGAAGGAGCGACGCCGCGUGGAGGAUGAAGGGCUUCGGCUCGUAAACUCCUGUCACCGACGAACAAGGCAUUCGGAUUAAUAAAUCGGAUGCUUGAUGGUAGUCGGAGAGGAAGGGGCGGCUAACUCUGUGCCAGCAGCCGCGGUGAUACAGAGGCCCCAAGCGUUGUUCGGAUUUACUGGGCGUAAAGGGUGUGUAGGGGGUUGGGUAAGUUUGACGUGAAAUCCCGUUGCUCAACAACGGAACUGCGUCGAAUACUGCUCGGCUGGAGGUUCGGAGAUGAGGGCGGAAUUCUCGGUGGAGCGGUGAAAUGCGUAGAUAUCUAUCGGAACGCCAAAGGUGAAGACAGGUGACUGGGCCAAAUCUGACGCUGAGGCACGAAAGCGUGGGGAGCAAACGGGAUUAGAUACCCCGGUAGUCCACGCUGUAAACGAUGCAUACUUGGUCGGAGUGGUUUGACUCCAUUCCGGCCGUAGGAAAACUGAUGAGUAUGCCGCCUGGGGAGUACGGUCGCAAGAUUAAAACUCAAAGGAAUUGACGGGGGCUCACACAAGCGGUGGAGCAUGUGGCUUAAUUCGAAGCAACGCGAAGAACCUUACCUAGGCUUGACAUUCACGGAUAAACUCUAUGAAAGUAGAGGUACACCCGCAAGGGCGGAACGUGAACAGGUGCUGCAUGGCUGUCGUCAGCUCGUGCUGUGAAGUGUCGGGUUAAGUCCCUCAACGAGCGCAACCCCUGUCGCUACUUGCUAACGCGUAAUGGCGAGGACUGUAGCGAGACUGCCGGUGUCAAACCGGAGGAAGGUGGGGAUGACGUCAAGUCCUCAUGGCCUUUAUGUCUAGGGCUGCACACGUGCUACAAUGGUAUGUACAGAACGAUGCAAGACCGCAAGGUGGAGCAAAUCGCUAAAGCAUACCCCAGUUCAGAUUGCGGGCUGAAAUUCGCCCGCAUGAAGUUGGAAUCGCUAGUAAUCGCGGAUCAGCUACGCCGCGGUGAAUAUGUUCCUGAGCCUUGUACACACCGCCCGUCAAGUCAUGGGAGCUGGCAGUGCCCGAAGUCGCGCAAUUUCAUGCGUGCCCACGGCAAGGCUGGUGACUGGGACUAAGUCGUAACAAGGUA